rnacentral:rRNA from 1 species
GCUGGCGGCGUGCCUAACACAUGCAAGUCGAACGAGAAAGUGGAGCAAUCCAUGAGUAAAGUGGCGACCGGGUGAGUAACACGUGACUGACCUACCUCCGAGUGGGGAAUAACUCCGGGAAACCGGGGCUAAUACCGCAUAACAUCGCAAGAUCAAAGCAGCAAUGCGCUUGGAGAGGGGGUCGCGGCUGAUUAGCUCGUUGGCGGGGUAACGGCCCACCAAGGCGAAGAUCGGUAUCCGGCCUGAGAGGGCGCACGGACACACUGGAACUGAAACACGGUCCAGACUCCUACGGGAGGCAGCAGUGGGGAAUUUUGCGCAAUGGGGGAAACCCUGACGCAGCAACGCCGCGUGGAGGAUGAAGCCCUUUGGGGCGUAAACUCCUUUCGACUCGGACGAUAAUGACGGUACGAGUGGAAGAAGCACCGGCUAACUCUGUGCCAGCAGCCGCGGUAAUACAGAGGGUGCGAGCGUUGUUCGGAAUUAUUGGGCGUAAAGGGCGCGUANGCGGUGCGGUAAGUCACCUGUGAAAUCUCCCGGCUUAACUGGGAGCCUGCAGGCGAAACUACCGUGCUGGAGUGUGGGAGAGGUGCGUGGAAUUCCCGGUGUAGCGGUGAAAUGCG